rnacentral:rRNA from 1 species
UACGUAGGGGGCGAGCGUUGUCCGGAAUUACUGGGCGUAAAGAGUGUGUAGGCGGUGCUCUAAGUUCGGUGUGAAAUCUCCCGGCUUAACUGGGAGGGUGCGCCGGAAACUGGAGUGCUCGAGCGUGGGAGAGGAAAGCGGAAUUCCUGGUGUAGCGGUGAAAUGCGUAGAUAUCAGGAGGAACACCUGCGGUGUAGACGGCUUUCUGGACCAUUGCUGACGCUGAGACACGAAAGCGUGGGUAGCAAACAGG